UAAUUGAAGAGUUUGAUCAUGGCUCAGAUUGAACGCUGGCGGCAGGCCUAACACAUGCAAGUCGAGCGGUAACAGGGGAAGCUUGCUUCUCGCUGACGAGCGGCGGACGGGUGAGUAAUGUAUGGGGAUCUGCCCGAUAGAGGGGGAUAACCACUGGAAACGGUGGCUAAUACCGCAUAAUCUCUUAGGAGCAAAGCAGGGGAACUUCGGUCCUUGCGCUAUCGGAUGAACCCAUAUGGGAUUAGCUAGUAGGUGGGGUAAUGGCUCACCUAGGCGACGAUCCCUAGCUGGUCUGAGAGGAUGAUCAGCCACACUGGGACUGAGACACGGCCCAGACUCCUACGGGAGGCAGCAGUGGGGAAUAUUGCACAAUGGGCGCAAGCCUGAUGCAGCCAUGCCGCGUGUAUGAAGAAGGCCCUAGGGUUGUAAAGUACUUUCAGUCGGGAGGAAGGCGUUGAUGCUAAUAUCAUCAACGAUUGACGUUACCGACAGAAGAAGCACCGGCUAACUCCGUGCCAGCAGCCGCGGUAAUACGGAGGGUGCAA
rnacentral:rRNA from 1 species